rnacentral:lncRNA from 1 species
GCGGUCAUUGAGGAGCAUGCCAUUCAUCUUCUCGAUGGCCUUGUUGGCAGCCUCUUGGGUCUCGAAGUGGACAAAGGCAUAACCCUUAGAGCCGUUCUCAUCACAGACCACCUGUUGAAGAGGAGGCAGGUCACCUGGGGGCCACUGGCCAGAUGUACGGACCUCACAGGACCCAGCACUACCAAGUACCCUGCUUUCCAACGGCUGCCAUGAUUAGUCUAUUUCUGGCCCACAUUGUGUUUCUGUGCCAGCAAGGUGAGCCUCAGGGGGUUUUUUGGAUACAGGUUCCCUCCAGACUGACAAGCAAGCCCCAGGAAUCCUGUUUCUGCCUUUGCAACACUGGUAUCAUGCAUUCAUGGGUGGAUGGUCCCCUGCCCAGUUUUUUUUUUUUUUUGGUUCUUUUUUUCGGAGCUGGGGACUGAACCCAGGGCCUUGCGCUUCCUAGGCAAGCGCUCUACCACUGAGCUAAAUCCCCAACCCCCCCUGCCCAGUUUUUAACAAGGAUUCUAGGGAAUGUAACUCAGAUCCUUUCCCAUGCAGCAAACACUUUACCAAAUGAAUUUCCUGCCUAGCCCAGGAAAUUUCCUUUUUUCCCCUCAAGUGCUCCUUUAUUUAAAAAAAAAAAAAAAAA